UGGGACUGUUAUAGGAAUUAAAAGGGAUUGGAGGGUUAUAGUAAUGGUUAGAAAUGUUAGCUGAAUUCUGCUAUGGAUUGCAAAAUCUAUUAGGAGUUUUUUCUUUUGUUUGGAAUACUGCAAUGUCUUGGUAGGUAAGUAAGAAUGGAGUCACAACAUGGGAGAGUUGGAUAAAGACAUGGCUUGAAGCUUGAGGCCAGAGCGGUGCAUUUGAAAGACUUUGAAACCCCUCUUUUUUGUAGUUCUCUUUGAUGUAACUUCACUUCUUGUAAUGGAUUCUUGAAUUUUGUAAUUGAAUUUUGUAA